rnacentral:rRNA from 1 species
UCCCUUAGACGUUCUGGGCCGCACGCGCGCUACACUGACCAGUGCAACAAGCAUCCGUCCUUGGCCGACAGGCCCGGGCAAUCUUUGAACGCUGGUCGUGAUGGGGAUAGACUUUUGCAAUUUUUGGUCUUCAACGAGGAAUUCCUAGUAAACGCAAGUCAUCAACUUGCAUUGAUUACGUCCCUGCCCUUUGUACACACCGCCCGUCGCACCUACCGAUUGAAUGGUCCGGUGAAGCCUCCGGAUUGGCGCGCACCUCGGUGCCGCCGAGAAGUUGGCUAAACCUUACCAUUUAGAGGAAGGUGAAGUCGUANCA